CGUUGACGUAGUUGCUUAUAAGACAGCAUCAACCACGACACCAUCAGUUCGUUAUCGCUUUGUCCUGCAAGUCCCUGUGAUGACUGUGUCUCAGCAAAUACUGUGAAUUGUGACAGAAGUGUCGGUAUUUGUAACUGUCGGGGUGGAUGGACUGGUAUUACGUGUAAUGAAAAUGUUCCCACAGAUUGCCCGGACUGUAUGCCGCCAUGUGACGAGAAAUGUGUGUCAAAUAAUACAUAUGCAUGUAAUAGGGAAUGUUUAUGCAAACCUGGCUGGACGGGCAUCACAUGCAAUGAAA